rnacentral:pre_miRNA from 1 species
GUUAUACUCCCUCCGUCCGAAAAUACUUGUCCUAGAAAUGGCUGUAUCUAGAUUUAUUUAGUUAUAGAUACAUUCAUUUUAUUCAUUUGUCUAUUUCCGGACGGAGGAAGUACAUG